rnacentral:pre_miRNA from 1 species
ACAACAACAUUCGGACCGUCGGUCUACCGAGCAAUAUCACCCGCUCGGUGGAAGAUCUUCCCUUUGUCAUCAAGC